GAGCUUGCUCUCUGGGUGGCGAGUGGCGGACGGGUGAGGAAUACAUCGGAAUCUACUCUGUCGUGGGGGAUAACGUAGGGAAACUUACGCUAAUACCGCAUACGACCUACGGGUGAAAGCAGGGGAUCUUCGGACCUUGCGCGAUUGAAUGAGCCGAUGUCGGAUUAGCUAGUUGGCGGGGUAAAGGCCCACCAAGGCGACGAUCCGUAGCUGGUCUGAGAGGAUGAUCAGCCACACUGGAACUGAGACACGGUCCAGACUCCUACGGGAGGCAGCAGUGGGGAAUAUUGGACAAUGGGCGCAAGCCUGAUCCAGCCAUACCGCGUGGGUGAAGAAGGCCUUCGGGUUGUAAAGCCCUUUUGUUGGGAAAGAAAUCCAGCUGGCUAAUACCCGGUUGGGAUGACGGUACCCAAAGAAUAAGCACCGGCUAACUUCGUGCCAGCAGCCGCGGUAAUACGAAGGGUGCAAGCGUUACUCGGAAUUACUGGGCGUAAAGCGUGCGUAGGUGGUCGUUUAAGUCCGUUGUGAAAGCCCUGGGCUCAACCUGGGAACUGCAGUGGAUACUGGGCGACUAGAGUGUGGUAGAGGGUAGCGGAAUUCCUGGUGUAGCAGUGAAAUGCGUAGAGAUCAGGAGGAACAUCCAUGGCGAAGGCAGCUACCUGGACCAACACUGACACUGAGGCACGAAAGCGUGGGGAGCAAACAGGAUUAGA
rnacentral:rRNA from 1 species